AUUGAACGCUGGCGGCAGGCUUAACACAUGCAGGUCGAGCGAGCGGCGGACGGGUGAGUAAUGUCUGGGAACCUGCCUGAUGGAGGGGGAUAACUACUGGAAACGGUAGCUACUACCGCAUACCAUCAGAUUUGCCCAGAUGGGAUUAGCUAGUGGGUGGGGUAAUGGCUCACCUAGGCGACGAUCCCUAGCUGGUCUGCGAGGAUGACCAGCCACACUGGGACUGAGACACGGCCCAGACUCCUACGGGAGGCAGCAGUGGGGAAUAUUGGACAAUGGGCGAAAGCCUGAUGCAGCCAUGCCGCGUGUGGGAAGAAGGCCUUCGGGUUGUAAAGCACUUUCAGCAGGGAGGCGGUACCCGCAGAAGAAGCACCGGCUAACUACGUGCCAGCAGCCGCGGUAAUAC
rnacentral:rRNA from 1 species